UACAGAGGUCUCAACCGUUGUUCGGAUUCAUUGGGCGUAAAGGGUGCGUAGGCGGUCGCGCAAGUCGGAUGUGAAAUCUUAGGGCUCAACCCUGAAACUGCAUUCGAUACUGCGUGGCUCGAGUACUGGAGAGGAGACUGGAAUUUACGGUGUAGCAGUGAAAUGCGUAGAUAUCGUAAGGAAGACCAGUGGCGAAGGCGAGUCUCCGGACAGUUACUGACGCUGAGGCACGAAGGCCAGGGGAGCAAACGGG
rnacentral:rRNA from 1 species